GGAGAGUUGGCCGAGCUGGCUGAAGGCGCACGCCUGCUAAGCGUGUGUAUGCCGAGAGGUGUACCGAGGGUUCGAAUCCCUCACUCUCCGCCA
rnacentral:tRNA from 1 species